UCGAAUGACGCACUCGCGCACUUCCUCUAGAUUAACGAUUCCUUUGUUUUGAGGCAAACCUAAACCUGAAACCCCCAAUCUCAAAAACCUGAAACUCCCAAUCUAAAAAACCUGAAUACACACCACAUAACCAAAGAAAAAAUGUCUAAGCUUCCUAUGGAUGUAAUCACCGACAUUUUAUAUCGCCUCCCGGUGAAGGCUCUCGUACGAUUCAAGUCCUUGUCUAAACCAUGUUGCUUCUUAAUCGACGAUCCAGAUUUCAUCAGAGACCACUUGAAUCGUUCCAUCCAAACCAGAUCAAAUCUCAAUAUCAUCCUCAAAGGCUUGCAUCUCUAUUCCGUGGAAUUUGACGCCCUGGAUACCGCCGUUCCCCUCGACUAUCCUUUGAGUAACGGAGCUGGUACAGAAGCUUUUGGUUCUUGUAACGGCCUCCUUGCAUUCCGUAUCACCGAGAAAAAUCUUGCCUUGUACAACCCUUCAACGAGACUGUUCCGUAGGUUGCCUGUUUCAGAGAUUGAUCCUCCACCAGGUGAAUCUUGUAAAUCUGGGUAUGUUUUUUAUGGGUUUGGACAAGAUGUUAAAACUGAUGAUUACAAAGUGUUGAGAAUGGCACAGUUUAAUCAAAAUGACGAUGAAGAUGGUGAAGGUUACUUUUAUGAUUACGAGGUUAAGGUUUAUAGUUUAAAGAAUGAUUCUUGGAGAAAAAUCACUAAGCUUCCUCCUUAUCUGCGGUUUAUGUUUCAAUUUUUCUACCAUCUUUUGCAUAGGCGAGGCUAUGGUGUGCUUGCUGGUGGGGUUUUGCAUUGGGUGAUGCCUCCGCGAAUUGAAUUGGGAAUGAGAAAUAGGAUUGUUGGUUUCGAUCUUGGAACCGAGGAGUUUGUUGAAGUGCCUCAGCCUGAAUGUGCUAAUAAGAACUAUCUGUUGGAUGUGGGUGUCUUGGAAGGAUGCCUUUGUGCUGUUUGUAAUUAUGACCAAGUUUCUGUUGAUGUCUGGGUUAUGAAGGAAUAUGGAGUGAAAGAAUCUUGGUCUAGGUUGCUUUCUGUUCAAAAAACUAGAGCCAUUAACACACUAACGUUUUUAAAGCCAUUAGCAUAUUCCAAGUUUAGUGAGAAGGUUCUGUUGGAGAUUAAUAAUCAAAAGUUUGCGUGGUAUGAUUUACAAAAGAAGAAGAUGCGGAGUGUGAAGAUUGGUGGUAGUCCAGGUACAUUUGGUGCAGAGGUUUAUGUAGGAAGCCUGAUUCCAAUAGAAGACCAGAAAAGAAAGGAAAAUGAGAAACAAAAUGAACAAGGUGUACAGAAGAACAGAAAUCGAAAUAAGCGGGAUGAUUUCCUGUCGCAAGGAUUCAAGUUGGUUUUAUGAUCAAAAUGAAGAAAAUAUACAGAAUAUGAGCAAAGUGCGAGGUAGCUAAAUCGCUUAUAAAGGGCCAAGAAGCUAGCAUGUUCCCUCUGUUUUUCUACAGCGGAUCCCCCAAAGGGUUGACUUGAGGAGGUGUUGACAUAUGACUGCUGCCUGGCAGGACAUGAUUUCAAAAGAGGAAGCUUUUGGAGUGUUGUAGCCACUUAUUGUGAACGACGGAACAAAAUGGGGAGUCUGGUUUGGCCGAUUUAUAUUAUCUUUCUUAUUUCUACUGCUUUUAUAUCAUCUGAAUGUGGGUCGCAAAAUUUUAUUGCACCGAUAGGGGAAUGAGAAUGGUACAUUCUGGUGGUAAGGUGUUUUUUUUUUUUUUUUUUUUUUUUUUUAUAAUAUGGGAUUGUUGAUAGCCUUUACUGUGUGAGACAUUUAAGAAUUUAACUACCUUUUGAUCUGUUCUUGAUUCCUGCAUCUGGACUUAAAAGCUUAUCUUUAAGCCAAAGCAGGGUUCAAAGAGUAACAAUCUGAACCAUUCAAUGGUUGAGAAAGAGACUUUUGUUGCUUAAAGUACUACAACCAAGUUUCUUAACUCUUUACAUGAACAUCGUGAUUCUCA